UGCCAGCCGCCGCGGUAAGACGGAGGGGGCUAUCGUGGUUCAGAAUUACUGGGCGUAAAGCGCGCGUAGGCGGCCUGUCGAGUCGGGCGUGAAAGCCCGGGGCUCGACCCCGGAGGUGCGUUCGAGACUGGCGGGCUGGAGUCCGGGAGAGGGGAGUGGAAUUCCCAGUGUAGAGGUGAAAUUCGUAGAUAUUGGGAAGAACACCAGUGGCGAAGGCGGCUCCCUGGCCCGGGAAGGAAGCGGAGGCGAGAACGCGUGGGGCGCAAACAGGAGUAGAUC
rnacentral:rRNA from 1 species